rnacentral:ribozyme from 1 species
CUGUUUCCUAUUGGUGGUUAUGAUUAGCUAAAAAUCUAAAAUACUAAACUACUACUACUACUACUACUACUACUACU